rnacentral:rRNA from 1 species
GACGAACGCUGGCGGCGUGCCUAAUACAUGCAAGUAGAACGCACAGUUUAUACCGUAGCUUGCUACACCAUACACUGUGAGUUGCGAACGGGUUAUUAACGCGUAGGUAACCUGCCUGGUAGCUGGGGAUAACUAUUGUAAACGAUAGCUAAUACCUCAUCAUAUUUAUUAUUGCAUGAUAAUUUAUUUAAAGAUGCUAUUUCAUCCCUACCAUAUUGACCUGCGUUGUAUUUGCUAGUAGGUGAGGUAAAGGCUCACCUAGGGGACGAUACAUAGCCGAAAUGAGAGGGGGAUCGGCCAAAAUGGGAAUGAGACAAGGCCCAGAAUACUACGGGAGGCAGCAGUAGGGAAUCGUAGGAAAUGGAGGAAAGACUGACCGAGCAAAGCCGCGGGAGGGAAGAAGGUUGUCGGAUCGUAAAGAUCUGUUGUAAGAGAAGAACGGGUGUGAGAGUGGAAAGUUCACACUGUGACGGUAUCUUACCAGAAAGAGACGGCUAACUACGUG